rnacentral:rRNA from 1 species
AGAUUGAACGCUGGCGGCAUGCCUUACACAUGCAAGUCGAACGGUAGAGUAGCAAUACUCGAGAGUGGCGAACGGGUGAGUAAUAUAUCGGAACGUGCCCAGUCGUGGGGGAUAACGUAGAGAAACUUACGCUAAUACCGCAUACGCCCUUCGGGGGAAAGCCGGGGAUCGCAAGACCUGGCGCGGAUAGAUGAGCCGAUGUCGGAUUAGCUAGUUGGUGAGGUAAUGGCUCACCAAGGCGACGAUCCGUAGCUGGUCUGAGAGGAUGAUCAGCCACACUGGAACUGAGACACGGUCCAGACCUCCGUAACGGGAGGCAGCAGGUAGGGGAAUAGUUGGAACGAAUGGGGCGCAAGCCUAGACUCCAGUCCCAGUACCCGGUGGUAGGGGUAGAAA